UACGUAGGGAGCGAGCGUUGUCCGAAGUUACUGGGCGUAAAGCGCGCGUAGGCGGGCUGUUAAGUGAGAGGUGAAAGGCUGGGGCUCAACCCCCAUGCAGUGCCUCUCAUACUGGCGGUCUUGAAUUCGGCAGGGGAGAAGUGGAAUGGCUGGUGUAGCGGUGAAAUGCGUAGAUAUCAGUCGGAACACCGGUGGCGAAGGCGGCUUCUUGGGCCGAGAUUGACGCUGGAGGCGCGGAAAGCUGGGGGGAGCGAAACGGG
rnacentral:rRNA from 1 species